AUUGAACGCUGGCGGCAUGCCUUACACAUGCAAGUCGAACGGUAACAGGUCUUCGGAUGCUGACGAGUGGCGAACGGGUGCGUAAUACAUCGGAACGUGCCCGAUCGUGGGGGAUAACGAGGCGAAAGCUUUGCUAAUACCGCAUACGAUCUACGGAUGAAAGCGGGGGAUCUUCGGACCUCGCGCGGACGGAGCGGCCGAUGGCAGAUUAGGUAGUUGGUGGGAUAAAAGCUUACCAAGCCGACGAUCUGUAGCUGGUCUGAGAGGAUGAUCAGCCACACUGGGACUGAGACACGGCCCAGACUCCUACGGGAGGCAGCAGUGGGGAAUUUUGGACAAAGGGCGAAAGCCUGAUCCAGCCAUGCCGCGUGCAGGAUGAAGGCCUUUGGGUUGUAAACUGCUUUUGUACGGAACGAAAAGCCUCUUUCUAAUAAAGAGGGGUCAUGACGGUACCGUAAGAAUAAGCACCGGCUAACUACGUG
rnacentral:rRNA from 1 species